CGCGAAUGGCUCAUUACAACAGCCAUAGUUUAUUGGAUGUUUACGUUCCUACAAGGACACCUGCGGUAAUUCUGGAGCUAAUACUUGCGAAAUGCGACAACCUCACGGGAGUCGUGCAUUUAUUAGAUUAAACCAAUCGGUCCUUCGGGACCGCCAUUUGGUGAACUCUGAAUAACUUAGCUGAUCGCACAGUCUCGUACUGGCGACAAAUCUUUCAAGUGUCUGCCUUAUCAACUUUCGAUGGUAGUUUAUACGACUACCAUGGUUGUAACGGGUAACGGAGAAUAAGGGUUCGACUCCGGAGAGGGAGCCUGAGAAACGGCUACCACAUCCAAGGAAGGCAGCAGGCGCGCAAAUUACCCACUCGCAGAACGCGGAGGUAGUGACGAAAAAUAACGAGGUGGCUCUCUAUGAGGUCCAUCAUCGGAAUGGGUACAAUUUAAAUCCUUUAACGAGGAUCUAUUGGAGGGCAAGUCUGGUGCCAGCAGCCGCGGUAAUUCCAGCU
rnacentral:rRNA from 1 species